GAACGCGAAGAACCUUACCUGGGUUUGACAUGCACAGGACGCCAGUAGAGAUAUUGGUUCCCUUGUGGCCUGUGUGCAGGUGGUGCAUGGCUGUCGUCAGCUCGUGUCGUGAGAUGUUGGGUUAAGUCCCGCAACGAGCGCAACCCUUAUCUUAUGUUGCCAGCGCGUAAUGGCGGGGACUCGUGAGAGACUGCCGGGGUCAACUCGGAGGAAGGUGGGGAUGACGUCAAGUCAUCAUGCCCCUUAUGUCCAGGGCUUCACACAUGCUACAAUGGCCGGUACAAAGGGCUGCGAUGCCGUGAGGUGGAGCGAAUCCUUUCAAAGCCGGUCUCAGUUCGGAUCGGGGUCUGCAACUCGACCCCGUGAAGUCGGAGUCGCUAGUAAUCGCAGAUCAGCAACGCUGCGGUGAAUACGUUCCCGGGUCUUGUACACACC
rnacentral:rRNA from 1 species